ensembl:misc_RNA Y_RNA Y RNA
GGUAGGACAAUUUGGGGGCUAUAUAUGAGGUUUAGGUAUCCAUUAUAUUUCAAAAAUUAAUUGAUCACAAACAGUUGCAGAUUUCUUUGUUCCUUCUCCACUCCCACUGCUUCACUUGACUAGCCUUAC